rnacentral:rRNA from 1 species
UACAGAGGUCCCAAGCGUUGUUCGGAUUCAUUGGGCGUAAAGGGUGUGUAGGUGGCGCCGUAAGUCGGGUGUGAAAUUUCGGAGCUUAACUCCGAAACUGCAUUCGAUACUGCGGUGCUUGAGGACUGGAGAGGAGACUGGAAUUCAUGGUGUAGCAGUGAAAUGCGUAGAGAUCAUGAGGAAGACCAGUGGCGAAGGCGGGUCUCUGGACAGUUCCUGACGCUGAGGCACGAAGGCCAGGGGAGCAAACGGG